UUUUCGCAUGUUUAUAAAAGAAGCUGGACCUAGCCAUAAUUUAAUUAAGAUCUACAAUUGUUUUGCCGGGUCUGAAUUAAAUUAUGGCUAGGUCCAGCUUCUUUUACAAACACGCGAA
rnacentral:pre_miRNA from 1 species